rnacentral:rRNA from 1 species
GACGUAGGGGGCGAGCGUUGUCCGGAUUUACUGGGCGUAAAGCGCGCGUAGGCGGUCCGUUAAGUGCACAAGUGAAAGCUCCUGGCUCAACCAGGAAAUUGCUUUGCAUACUGGCGGGCUGGAGGGACGCAGAGGUCUGUGGAAUUCCUGGUGUAACGGUGAAAUGUGUUGAUAUCAGGAGGAACACCCAUGGCGAAGGCAGCAGACUGGGCGUUUGCUGACGCUGAGGCGCGAAAGCGUGGGUAGCAAACAGG